UAAACCUGCUAAACUAAACCGUA
rnacentral:siRNA from 1 species